rnacentral:rRNA from 1 species
GACGAACGCUGGCGGCGUGCUUAACACAUGCAAGUCGAACGGAAAGGCCCUGCUCUUGCUGGGCGCUCGAGUGGCGAACGGGUGAGUAACACGUGAGUAACCUGCCCUUGACUUUGUGAUAACUUCAGGAAACAGCGGCUAAUACAGCAGAGGAGCUCCUGCAGCAUGGUGGGGGUUGGAGAGAUUCGGCGGUUGGGGAUGGACUCGCGGCUUAUGAGCUUGAUGGUGGGGUAGUGGCUUACCAAGGCUUCGACGGGUAGCCGGCCUGGGAGGGUGACCGGCCACAUUGCGACUGAGAGACGGCGCAGACUGCAACGGGAGGCAGCAGUGGGGAGUCUUGCACAAUGGGCGGGAGCCUGAUGCAGCAACGCCGCGUGCGGGAUGACGGGCUUCGGGGUGUAAACCGCUUUCGCCUGUGACGAAGCGUGCGUGACGGUAAUGGGUAAAGAAGCACCGGCUAACUACGUG